AAUUUAAAUUUUAUCAAGAAUAAAUUUUGUUUACACACACUCUAACAUUUCCAGAAUACCAGAAUAAGAAAGGACCUGUGUGCACAUGGAGGAGCUCUUGAAGAAUUGGCAGCAAGAUUAAAGGGAAGGGAUUCAUAAAGAGAACGUGAACAGGGAUGCAUGUACACAAACUGUGCUUCGGUGAAAGAGAAUAACCAAUUGAGUCACUUGUCAACAAAGAAGAUUGUAAGAAGGCAUGUCUUCAAUCCGCAGAACAUCAUCCAUCAGCAACUCUCUCUCUAGCUGAACUCGCGUGGAUUUCAGUACAUCCUGCAAUAAUAAUAGAAACCCCUUUGAAUAUAAUCUACACAGGUUAUGUAUCAUACUGAUAACACAUUGCAUUUUACUGUUAACUAUUCAAAAACUAUGCUUUCUUUUAUAGAUUAACAAGUGCAUGAUGGAGUCUUACAUUAAAUUCCAUGUAUGUAGCAUUUUUCUCCUGCCAUUGUUUGUCCAUGACAACGAAUGCCACGCAAUAAAGCAGAUCAAAUGCCCAUUCAUUCUCUGCAAAUGUAUGAUAACAGUUUGAACUUUGAGAAAAACUGCUCUUACAAAAGUCCUUGGUUUGGCUGCAAGUGAAGAAACAGUUUGGUAUUAGAGAUAUUGUUGUAAUUAAGAUGGCAAUUUCUGUUUAGUUUAGUUUUCUUGGAGACUUAGGCCACAAGACUCGUGUAACUCUAACUGGGUGAGUGUUACUAUAACAAGUUAAGAACUACAUCUAGGUUCAAAAUAGUUUUGAUGACGUACUGGCAUCAAGGUCCAGCAUUUGCAUAAUCAUAAAUGUGAUAUUAACGCCAGCAACAGCAAAGGGAUACUCCCAAACAGCUUCUUUUCCUCCUUGCCCCUUCAAUAGGCGCUGAAAAGAAGUCUGCAACAUGUAGAGGGACAUAAGAGCAUAAGCAAAUAAAUCAAUUUUUGGCAGAAGUUGGGCAAAAACACUUGCAUGAUGCGGAGUAUUUGUUAAUUUGGGAGUCUGAGAUUGAAAUGGUGUCACCAAGAGAUAGUUCAGAAUCUUACUGAGAAUGUCUUUGCAAAGAAAAGUAGGUUCUCCAAUGAAAUGAAACCAGCUCCUCUGUUCACAAAAUUGGUCCAAAAGAAAUGAACAUGUCAAGAGCAGAAACAGCAGAGAAAAAUUAAAAGAGGGUGAUAACUUGACAAACACAAAUAUAACCUGAAAUCAGUGGACGGAUCUCUACCCUGCCAUCCCAUUUCUUUCCAUUGAUCAGAAAUCAAGCUUUGAAGCUCCUGUCCAGGGAAUGAAGCAGACCACAGAGCUCUCAACGCUUCCUGUUCUUGAAAGAAAUUCCGGAUGAGUAUCUUGCAGAAGAAGGCUAAAAAUAUGUGAAUAGAGAAAAUAGGAUUGCAGCAAGUUCUUCAAGCAAUCAAUGCUUACACCAAUACAGAGGAGAAUAAUACAACUACGUUAUACCUGGUGAUCAAGCCUGGAACCAUCAAAUCUUUGAGAAGUGUACGAAAAGGGACAAUAUGCAAACAGUUCAACUUCUUGAACUCACACAGAAACACAAUUUGAGGCAGUGCAUGACCAAAUCAAAUGCACUAAUCAAUAAGGCAGAGAUGUGGCAGAAUGUUGUGUUUUGGGUGGAACCAAACCGUAUAACUUUGGAGGGGACAUAAUCGAUGGGAGUUGCGUAUGGCGAAGAAGGAAGAGUGGUAAUUGGAACAGUGCAAAUUGUCGUGUUUUGCCCCGACCAAGAAAAAAGCAAAAUGACUUAGACAAACCGUGAGCUGUGAUGUUGGGCCUACAGGGCCCUAUACGACCACGUGGGAAGAUCAAGAUUCAUUACAUAGUCAUACAUUUUAUUAUCCUUUCCAUGUGACCAAUAAAAUAACUCAUUUUUUGUUUUCCUUUUGUCUUUGGCCUAUACUGUUUUUUUAUUUUCUGUGUUUGUAUUCGUGACCGGUUAUUAGUUCAGUUCUUUUGGUUUGGUAACUUCCCACCCCCACCAUUCCCACUAUCUUGUUUGUUACAUCAGACCAGACCUCACUCACUGUAACAACUAACAACUCCAUAGCAAUCUUAAUUCCUAUCCUAUGUAGUUUGGUUUAACUAGUUUCACACAUGUUCCCCUCUCAGUGGACCCUCACGAUUGUUGACGUGACGAAACAAACAAACCGUGUCCUCUUCAAAACACCGAAUUCGACUCAGAUUUUCAU